UUGGAGGGCAAGUCUGGUGCCAGCAGCCGCGGUAAUUCCAGCUCCAAUAGCGUAUAUUAAAGUUGUUGCAGUUAAAAAGCUCGUAGUUGAAUUUCGAGACCGGUUUACUGGUCGUGCUUUUGUACGUACUGGUAUUAUUGGUUUCUCCUUUCUGACGAACUAUAAUGCCAUUAAUUUGGUGUUUUAGGGAAUCAGGACUGUUACUUUGAAAAAAUUAGAGUGUUUAAAGCAGGCUCACGCUUGAAUACAUUAGCAUGGAAUAACGGAAUAGGACGUUUGAUUCUAUUUUGUUGGUUUCUAGGAUCGACGUAAUGAUUAAUAGGAAUAGUUGGGGGCAUUAGUAUUCAAUUGUCAGAGGUGAAAUUCUUGGAUUUAUUGAAGACUAACUACUGCGAAAGCAUUUGCCAAGGAUGUUUUCAUUAAUCAAGAACGAAAGUUAGGGGAUCGAAGACGAUCAGAUACCGUCGUGGUCUUAACCAUAAACUAUGCCGACUAGGGAUCGGAUGAUGUUAAUUUUUUAAUGACUCAUUCGGCGCCUUACGGGAAAC
rnacentral:rRNA from 1 species